rnacentral:rRNA from 1 species
GGAAUAUUGGACAAUGGGCGCAAGCCUGAUCCAGCCAUGCCGCGUGUGUGAAGAAGGCCUUCGGGUUGUAAAGCACUUUUGUUGGGGAAGAAAAGCAUCCGGUUAAUACCCGGGUGUCAUGACGGUACCCAAAGAAUAAGCACCGGCCACCUUCGUGCCAGCAGCCGCGGUAAUACGAAGGGUGCAAGCGUUACUCGGAAUUACUGGGCGUAAAGCGUGCGUAGGUGGUCUGUUAAGUCUGAUGUGAAAGCCCCGGGCUCAACCUGGGAAUGGCAUUGGAUACUGGCAGUCUAGAGUGCGGUAGAGGGGUGUGGAAUUCCCGGUGUAGCAGUGAAAUGCGUAGAUAUCGGGAGGAACAUCCGUGGCGAAGGCGACACCCUGGACCAGCACUGACACUGAGGCACGAAAGCGUGGGGAGCAA